rnacentral:rRNA from 1 species
GAUGAACGCUGGCGGCGUGCCUAAUACAUGCAAGUCGAGCGAACGGACGAGAAGCUUGCUUCUCUGAUGUUAGCGGCGGACGGGUGAGUAAGAUGUGGAUAACCUACCUAUAAGACUGGGAUAACUUCGGGAAACGGGAGCUAAUACCGGAUGAUAUUUUGAACCGCAUGGUUCAAAAGUGAAAGACGGGCUUGCUGUCACUUAUAGAUGGAGCCGUGCUGCAUUAGCUAGUUGGUAAGGUAACGGCUUACCAAGGCAACGAUGCAUAGCCGACCUGAGAGCGUGAUCGGCCACACUGGAACUGAGACACGGUCCAGACUCCUACGGGAGGCAGCAGUAGGGAAUCUUCCGCAAUGGGCGAGAGCCUGACGGAGCAAAGCCGCGUGAGUGAUGAAGGUCUUCGGAUCGUAAAACUCUGUUAUUAGGGAAGAACAUAUGUGUAAGUAACUGUGCACAUCUUGACGGUACCUAAUCAGACAGCCACGGCUAACUACGUG